AUCCUUAUGUCACUGCUCGCUAGAUAAUUCAUAUUAUGAUGAGCGGUGA
rnacentral:ncRNA from 1 species